rnacentral:piRNA from 1 species
AUCCCAGUGUGCCGUGAACGUGAGACUUCU